rnacentral:rRNA from 1 species
CCUACGGGUGGCAGCAGUAGGGAAUCUUCCACAAUGGGCGCAAGCCUGAUGGAGCAACACCGCGUGAGUGAAGAAGGGUUUCGGCUCGUAAAGCUCUGUUGUUGGAGAAGAACGUGCGUGAGAGUAACUGUUCACGCAGUGACGGUAUCCAACCAGAAAGUCACGGCUAACUACGUGCCAGCAGCCGCGGUAAUACGUAGGUGGCAAGCGUUAUCCGGAUUUAUUGGGCGUAAAGCGAGCGCAGGCGGUUGCUUAGGUCUGAUGUGAAAGCCUUCGGCUUAACCGAAGAAGUGCAUCGGAAACCGGGAAACUUGAGGGGAGAAGGGGACAGUGGAAUUCCAUGUGUAGCGGUGGAAUGGGUAGAUAUAUGGAAGAACACCAGGGGCGAAGGCGGCUGUCUGGUCUGCAACUGACGCUGAGGCUCGAAAGCAUGGGUAGCGAACAGGAUUAGAUACCCGGUAGUC